rnacentral:rRNA from 1 species
GAUGAACGCUGGCGGCGUGCUUAACACAUGCAAGUCGAACGAAGCACUUUAUUUGAUUUCCUUCGGGACUGAUUAUUUUGUGACUGAGUGGCGGACGGGUGAGUAACGCGUGGGUAACCUGCCUUGUACAGGGGGAUAACAGUUGGAAACGGCUGCUAAUACCGCAUAAGCGCACAGCGUCGCAUGAUGCAGUGUGAAAAACUCCGGUGGUAUAAGAUGGACCCGCGUUGGAUUAGCUAGUUGGUGAGGUAACGGCCCACCAAGGCGACGAUCCAUAGCCGACCUGAGAGGGUGACCGGCCACAUUGGGACUGAGACACGGCCCAAACUCCUACGGGAGGAAGCAGUGGGGAAUAUUGCACAAUGGGCGAAAGCCUGAUGCAGCGACGCCGCGUGAGCGAAGAAGUAUUUCGGUAUGUAAAGCUCUAUCAGCAGGGAAGAUAAUGACGGUACCUGACUAAGAAGCACCGGCUAAAUACGUG